UAGAUGGCAAGCGUUGUCCGGAAUUACUGGGUGUAAAGGGAGCGUAGGCGGGUGUGCAAGUUGGAUGUGAAAUACACAGGCUCAACCUGUGAAUUGCAUUCAAAACUGUGCAUCUUGAGUGAAGUAGAGGUAGGCGGAAUUCCUAGUGUAGCGGUGAAAUGCGUAGAUAUUAGGAGGAACACCAGUGGCGAAGGCGGCCUACUGGGCUUUUACUGACGCUGAGUCUCGAAAGCAUGUGUAGCAAA
rnacentral:rRNA from 1 species